CUUUUAAGUAGAUUUAGAGUGUGCUAGCUUGCUAGAAUUUAGAUACAGGUGCUGCACGGCUGUCGUCAGCUCGUGUCGUGAGAUGUGGGUUAAGUCCCGCAACGAGCGCAACCUCGUGUUUAGUUGCUAACAGUUCGGCUGAGAACUCUAAACAGACUGCCUACGCAAGUAGGAGGAAGGUGAGGACGACGUCAAGUCAUCAUGGCCCUUACGGCCAGGGCUACACACGUGCUACAAUGGGGUAUACAAAGAGCAGCGAUACGGUGACGUGGAGCAAAUCUAGAAAAUGCCUCUCAGUUCGGAUUGUAGUCUGCAACUCGACUACAUGAAGUUGGAAUCGCUAGUAAUCGUAGAUCAGCAAUGCUACGGUGAAUACGUUCCCGGGUCUU
rnacentral:rRNA from 1 species